rnacentral:rRNA from 1 species
UGCGUAGGNGGCUUUNNANGUCGGAUGUGAAAUCCCUGAGCUUAACUUAGGAAUUGCAUUCGAUACUGGGAAGCUAGAGUAUGGGAGAGGAUGGUAGAAUUCCAGGUGUAGGGGUGAAAUGCGUAGAGAUCUGGAGGAAUACCGAUGGAGAAGGCAGCCAUCUNGCCUAAUACUGACGCUGAGGUACGAAAGCAUGGAGAGCAAACAGGAUUAGAUACCCNGGUAGUCCAUGCACACAACGAUGUCUACUAGNCGNUGGGGGCCUUUGAGGNUUUAGUUGNGGUAGNUAACGCGAUAAGUAGACCCCCUGGGGAGUACGGUCGCAAGAAUUAAACUCAAAUNAAUGGACGNGGGCCCCNACA